UACGAAGGGGGCUAGCGUUGCUCGGAAUCACUGGGCGUAAAGCGCACGUAGGCGGCUUUCUAAGUCAGGGGUGAAAUCCUGGAGCUCAACUCCAGAACUGCCUUUGAUACUGGAGAGCUCGAGUCCGGGAGAGGUGAGUGGAACUGCGAGUGUAGAGGUGAAAUUCGAUAGAUAUUCGCAAGAACACCAGUGGCGAAGGCGGCUCACUGGCCCGGUACUGACGCUGAGGUGCGAAAGCGUGGGGAGCAAACAGG
rnacentral:rRNA from 1 species